AAUUGUCUAGCAAUAAUUAAGUAAAGUAGAUUUACUUUUCAGAAAUGCAGGUUCCGGAACAUCCAACAAUAGUUUUAGGGUCGAAAACAAUUGCAGUAGUGAAUGCUGAAAAAUAAUUGACUCAACAAAGGAAAUAUUAAUCAAUAAAUCAAAGAAAAAUAGUAAAGAGUGGAAAACAGGCAAAACCUUGAGAAAACUUGAUGCUUGUCUCUUUCACAGGAAUAAUUUUGAUUAUGCUCCAUCCCAUGUCUCCAAACCAUAACCUACAGUGCAUGUAAAUCAAUAGAUUGAAGAAGUUUCUAAGUUAUACACUGCAGUGAUCUAAAAUUGAAAUUUCUUAAAAAAAUACCAUACCAGUAUCAAUUUCUUCCCAUAACUCUGGUGUAUUUAUCGACUGAGUAUUGAUUCAGGUGAUGAAUAAAUAAAAUUUGAAUUGCCACUGAAAAAAAGAAGAAAGAAGACAUGAAGAAACCUGUUC
rnacentral:lncRNA from 1 species